GACGAACCGAGCGAACGUUGUUCGGAAUCACUGGGCUUAAAGGGCGCGUAGGCGGCCGAUCAAGUCGGGGGUGAAAGCCUGUGGCUCAACCACAGAAUUGCCUUCGAUACUGUUUGGCUUGAGACCGGAAGAGGUUAGUGGAACUGCGAGUGUAGAGGUGAAAUUCGUAGAUAUUCGCAAGAACACCAGUGGCGAAGGCGGCUGACUGGUCCGGUUCUGACGCUGAGGCGCGAAAGCGUGGGGAGCAAACAGG
rnacentral:rRNA from 1 species